GGAGAGGUGUCCGAGCGGUUUAAGGAGCCGGUCUUGAAAACCGGUGACUCAUCAGAGCCAUGGGUUCGAAUCCCAUCCUCUCCG
rnacentral:tRNA from 1 species